GAAACACUUUUCAUAGAUGGACAGAAAGGGCUGUGUGCUGUGCAACCGUCAUAGACUGUGCGUCACACAAUGCAACAAAGACCGACACAUCUCUAUACAAACUAAACUUGAGGGUCUUGAGAUGCUGAUCGACCUCAAUGGUGCUGGGCGGAAGUCUUGUCCUCUGUGUCCUGAAGAGAAGUUCAAAGCAUGUUAUAGCCGCAAGCUCCGCAGACAUCUCCAAAACCUCCACUGGAAGGUGUAUGUGGAGUUUGACGGUCAGAAGAUGUGCAUCUGCCACUUGCCCUGUAGACACCCGAAACCAAGUCAGAGUGGAGAUCAGGUGUUGGGGAGGCAUGUGGCUCACUACCACUGUGUUGUUUGUUCCGUCACCAUUGCCCGCAAGACUGACAUGGUCAGCCAUCUGAAACGCCAUAUCAACAAGGGAGAAACAAAGUCCAGCUACUCGGGGAGUCAAGAUGUUCUAUUUGAAGAGCCUGAGACUUCUAGUCAGGUGUAUGAAAUCAUGAAAGAACUGGAUACAAAUGUACAGCUGUUCCCAAUGUACAACACUCCGCAGAAAAGUGAAACUUACUUCAACCGAAAGAUGAAGAGCAACAGGCAACUUGUGUUCUGCUCGCUGGCUGUUCUUGCUAAAGAGAAGAGCCCUCUGGAGUGUCUAGAUGCUUUUGGAGCCACAGGGAUCACAGGCUUGCAAUGGGCAAAGCAUCUUCGUAAUGCAGUCAAAGUGACCAUAACAGAUAUCAGCGAAAUCUGUGUGAAAAUGAUCAAGAGAAACUGUGAGCUGAACCAAAUACAGGUGGGCCCCCGGGGGAUUGAAGAUGUUGCAGGUGAAUUUAAAGGAGUACCCAUAACAACAGUGGAAGUUACCAAGAUGGAUGCCAAUGUCAUGAUGCACCUGCGUCCUUUUGACUACAUUCACUUGGAUCCCUUUGGUACAGCAGUGAAUUUCUUGGACGCCGCCUUCAGAAAUGUCAGAAAUAUGGGCAUUAUUUCUGUGACAUCCACAGACACUGGAUCACUCUUUGCCAAGUCACCCAAUGUUACACUGCGACACUAUAAUUGUCACAUCGUACGCACAGAGUACUAUAAAGAGCUGGCUGCACGGAUGGUUGUUGCUGCAGUUGCCAGAGCAGCUGGCCGCUGUAACAAAGGCAUUGAUGUUCUGCUGGCAGUGGCAUUGGAGCAUUUCGUCUUGGUGGUGGUUAGAGUCCUCAGAGGUCCCACACAAGCUGAUGAGUCUGCAAAGAAGCUAAGAAAGUUAGUUCAUUGUCAGUGGUGUGAGGAAAGAGUCUUCCUCAAACAAGGCAAUAUGGUUGAUGAUACAUUGCCCUGUAACUGUCAUGGAAGUCUUCCUGGAAAAACUGCAGUGCAGCUGGGACCAUUAUGGUCUGGCCCACUGUUUAACACUGGCUUUCUGAGGAAGAUGCUCUUGGCAGCAGUACAGCACAGUAUGGCCGAUAUCCAACCAUUGGUCAAAACUCUGAUUUGCGAAUCUGACUGUACCACUCUGAAGCCUGUAAUCCAUGGAGCAUCAGCGUUUACCAACCAGGUAGAAUGUGGCGUCAUCAUUAAGACGUCUCAGAGUGAAGAAGAUUCAGGUCCUGCUGAUCAGUCUGGAGCUGUGCUUGGCCCUGAAGUUCCACUCAAAGGAACUCUGAAUGCUUCAGCAUAUCAAGAGAUUUUGGACAAUUCCAUGCUCCCAACUUUGUGGGACCAGUUUGGAGCUGGCCCCUUCCAUCCAUAAAGAUAUGGAUGACAGAGUCUGGUGUUGAUGAACUUGUCUGGCCUGCACAGAGUCCUGAUCUCAAUCUUUGAAUUAGAAGAGAGCCAAGCCUUCUUGUCCGACAUCAGUGUGUGACCUCACAAAUGCGCUUCUGGAAGAAUGGUAAAAAACUCCCAUAAACACACUUCUAAACCUUGUGGACAGCCUCCCCAGAAGAGUUGAAGCUGUUAUCGCGGCAAAGGGUGGACCGACGUCAUAUUGAACCCUAUGGAUUAGGAAUGGGAUGUCACUUAAAUUCAUAUGAGCGAGUUUAUUCUACCAAACCAACAACUUUGGAAGAACUUGAAGGGCGAAUACGAGAAGUUAUGUCUUCCAUCCCACAAGAGUUCCUUAUGAAAUCAGUUCAUGCGGUUCCCAGGCGGCUUGAGAAACUCCUGGCGAAUGCUGGCGCCCAUAUCCAAUUUGAAAUAAAACUCCAUGCAAUAAACUUUCUUCUCAAUGUUCAUUUCCUGUAAGAAUUAUAGUUCAGAAAUAAAUUAAUACUUAAAAAUAGGGAGUUACUUUUCAAUCACCCUGUGUGUGUGUGUGUGUGUGUGUGUGUGUGUAUAUAUAUAUAUAUACUGUGAGUGUGAGUGAGUGAGUGAGUGAGAGAGUGAGAUCUUUCUAGAUCUGGCCGUCCGACCAAGCUGAGUAACCGGGGAAGAAGGCCCUUGGUCAGAGAGGAGAACUCUAGGAUCAUUUGUCGCAAUAAGUGAAUGGCCCCACUCCCACCUAAUAAGUUCUAGGAUUGUGUGUCUGCGGACGCAUGCAAGUCAAUUGACACCGUUUUGCAUGCGCAAUAACUGACAGAAGUGUCCUGUAAUUGCUGUGACUACACUGUGGAGGCUGAGGACACCACCCAAUCAAUCGAGAGGCAGCGUCGGGCCCAGAAGUCCACCGAGAGCAACCCGGUGGACGGAACACGUCCCACACCGAGGGACCCAUGGCUGGACACCGGCCCUACCAAGGCGCCCCAAAAACUGGCCACCUGGAGGAGGCCGCAGGGACCCAAUGCCACCCUCCCCAGCCCAAGGGCCAGAUGGUGUACCUUGUUUGAUGGAAAGUAGGGCGGAUUGGGGUGCCUGACAAGGGAACGAUAAGUAAGGGGGAACCCAGGGAUCAGCCAUGGGGCAUGAGAGGGGAGCCCCCACGCCAAGCAGCCAUCCAGCCCAAGGGGCCCGGCCUCAGGAGCACCGCCAUGAGGCGAAUGAAAACCCAAAUCCCCCCCUGUUACUAUGACUGCCAGGUCCCCGACUGACAGUCAUUGGCCCUACCCUGUGUAUCGCUGCCCCAGCCCCCAAGUGGUGUGGUGCAUUAAAAUCUGGAGAGGCCAGUGAACCUGUGGGGCGGGGUGUGUCAGGGUUGCUGGGCAAUGCUGCCUAACAGCACCCACCCAAAAGACCCCCCCCACCCCCCCACCCCCCAGAGAAGGAUGUAUGGCGUGAAUUAAAAGGAUAGGGAUGAGUGUGUGUAAUGCAUUAAAAUCCAGGGGGGCAGGCAGGGCAGAGGGGCUGGGCGCCUGGACCGGGAAACAGCACUGACGAAACCCACACUCCCCGACCCCACAUUAGCCCCCCAAGAAGCUGUAGUUAUUAUUAUUAUUAUUAUUAUUAUUAUCCAUCCAUCCAUUUUCUGAGCCGCUUCGCCUCACGAGGGUCGCGGGCGUGCUGGAGCCUAUCCCAGCUAUCAUCGGGCAGGAGGUGGGGUACACCCUGAACUGGUUGCCAGCCAAUCGCAGGGCACUUAUAAGCAAACAACCAUUGGCACUCAUAUUCACACCUAGGGGCAAUUUAAAGUUGUCAUUUAACCUCCCAUGCAUGUUUUUGGGAUGUGGGAGGAAACCGGAGUGCCCGGAGAAAACCCACGCAGGCACGGGGAGAACAUGCAAACUCCACACAGGCAGGGCUGUGGAUUGAACCCCCGGUCCUCAGAACUGAAAGAGAAAGACUGUUGAGGAGUCAAGGAACACUGUAAAGAAGCUGAAGUCUGACUCAUCUCUGGAACAUCCGGCAUUCUACUACAGCAUUCACCGCCACAGCAUGCGUGGGAUGAACAUGCCUAAGU